rnacentral:rRNA from 1 species
GAGAGUGGGUAGUCCGCACGAGCGCACCUCACUUCUAGUUGCCAUCAUUAAGUUGGGCACUCUGAAAGAACUGCCAGUGAUAAGCUGGAGGAAGGUGGGGAUGACGUCAAGUCCUCAUGGCCCUUACGUGUUGGGCUACACACGUGCUACAAUGGCAUCUACAACAGGAAGCAAAACGGCAACGUUAAGCAAAUCCCGAAAAGAUGCCUCAGUUCGGAUUGCACUCUGCAACUCGAGUGCAUGAAGCUGGAAUUACUAGUAAUCGUGGAUCAGCGUGCCACGGUGAAUGCGUUCCCGGGUCUUGUACACACCGCCCGUCACACCAUGGGAGUUGGUUCUACCUUAAGGCAAGGUUUUAAACCCUUGACCACGGUAUAGUCAGCGACUGGGGUGAAGUCGUAACAAGGUAGCCGUAGGGGAACCUGCGGCUGGAUUACCUCCUUUCU